CACCCGUGUAUCUGAGAGCAGCAGCACAUGUGUGCAGCAGGGAGGGAUCAGGUUUCCCUGCUCAUAUGAAUGGUCCUGUCAAGUGCAGGAGGCACCGGCUGUGGUUGUUACGUUGCCUUUUGCAACGUGUUUCAUGGUGCAUUGAAAGCAACUACCUGCACCCUGCAGGAUCGGAACUAAGCCGCUGACGGUGUACAGUGUGGAGCUCAUAUGCUGAUGCAACUCCUCCAGAUCUUGUACAGUAGAGGCCAGCGCAGUGAGAGCCCAGCGGGAGGAAGGGACGCAGACAGCGGACAGUAACGUGCCAAACUGACACACACACUGCAAACCAACAUUUACUGGGUUUGCUGAAAAUACUGCAGCAGAGGGACUUAGGAGCUCCUGGGAAUGACUGAUCCGCUAUCAGAACCGAGCCGGACUCAGUCCUCCUCAUGGAACCCCAAAUCUAGCCAUGCAUCCAUUAUUUACGGAUAGGAUGUUUUCAGAUCUAUGCAUCCUAAGUAUCAGAUUCAUUCUUUGGAGCAGCAAAUGCAGCGUUACUCACGGACGAGGUGGAGAAUUUCCUUAACACUUGACUCGCUGUCCACAACAUGACGGUGGUGUUUUGAAUGCAAAAAAAUGAGAACAAAUCCAGGCGCUGCACAGUUUGUCCGAGCCGCUGUAGAGAGAAAAGCCCUGCUGUAUCCACACACCUGCCCCGUGUUUGUCGGCGUGUGGCUGUGAGUCACUGACAGUGUGGCCGUGGUCUGGGCUCGCCACAGCCAGCUUAUACUCGACAGCCGCCGACGUACGUCCUGCCUGGCACCGUACGUGCGCGGUCACGCAGUGCUUACUAUGGUCACCAUGCGCGAACACGCGUGGGAACUGAUUAUACCGGCGUCCUGACGGAAACGUCGAUGUAACUGUAUUUACAAGUUAAAAAGACACUGGAAAUUCCUGGAAAUGUUCCUCUGUAUCCCUAUGUAGAUAUUCCAUUAAAAAUAAGCCGUUUCCAGCUAGAAUAGUCAUCUACCACAUUAACAAUGUCUAGCCUGGAUUCAUGAAUAACUUUUUAUCUUCAUUGAAAAAAAGUUUUUCAAAAAUAAGGACGUUUCUAAGUGACCCCAUACUUUUGAAUGGUAGUGUACAUAUUAAACAUAAGCAUUUAACUUUAGAUAUCCUACAGCAUAUCGCUUGAAGAAUAUUGUUUAAAAUGGAAAUGAAACGUUUGCUUCUAGUAAACAUCCAGUAACUAUCCCAGUACUGCUAAGGCUAGCACAAAUAGCUAGCACUAGCCUCGUAGCUGUUUGCUAGCAGUAGCUUAGCUCCGGUUAUAUCUGUCUUAAUAUCAAUAAUGCAUACUUACAUGCCAAACUGAAUUAGUUUUCAUCCUUGAACUCCUUUCUCUUGCAUUAUUUAAAAAAAAAAAUAUUGUUAAGAAAUGUCUCCAGUUAAGCAUAAAUUGCCCAUUUUUGUGGCCUGUCCUUAGCAUGUGAAGGUUGAACUGGGCUAUCAGCGGCAAAUCAAAGUUUCGAAGAUGCUAACAAAUGACUAAUAUGGCUCGAGCUCAACCCUGUAAAAUUUUGUAUUUGAGUUAAUUUUUUUCAGAUCACUGAAUAUCUUUAUGUUUAGUCUAAGUGAUCCAUAAUUAUUCAUUCAUUAACACACUGCUAAUGUUAGGCACUUGUCUUACGCUCAGAUAUACGUAGCUUAGGAUAAAAGCAUCUGAAAAUGAAAUUGUACAAAUUGUAGAAUUCAUGUAUGUAUUAACAUAACAGAAGUCGUCUACUGCCCCAGCAAAUUCAACCCAAGAGCAAAGUGUUGGUUCAAAAAAAAAAAAAAAAAAAAAAAAAAAAAAAACACCUUAUAAAAAUUGUUUCCAGGAAGCACAAAAUGCCAUCAUAAGAUCUGCAGGUAACACUGGAGUCAAAAUGCUGCGUCUACAAUCUAUAAUCAUAAAAGAUCACACAGCUUCGGCCUGCAUGGGAAAAGUGCCAGAAAAAAAAGCCUUUGCAGUCCAAAAAGGACAUUAAAGCAAAACUACAGUUUGCCAGUGAAAAUGCAGGCAAAGAACAGACCUUUUAGAAUAUUGACCUCUGAACACAUGAAUGCCACACUGUGAAGCAGUUUGGUGGAAAUGUUAGAGUUUGGAGUUUCUCACUGCCUCAGAAACUGGGCAGCUUGCAGUCAUUACUUCAACUAUUAGUUCUGCAUCACAUCAUAGCGUCCUUGAAGAUCAGGAGAGGCCACCUGUCCCAAAACUGAAGUCAAACUGGAAGUGAAGCUUUCAACAGAGUAAUGAUCCUAAGCACAUGAGCAAAUCCAUCAAAGUAUGAACUGAUGAGCUGAGUAUGAACAAAUGGAGGGUUAUGGGAGGAUCUUUUCAAAACCCAGAUCUGAAUCCAACUGAAUGUUUUUGGCAGAUUUCAAAUGGGCAGUACAUGCAAGAAAACCAUGAAACAUGUAGCAGCCAGUCAAAAAGUUCGGCAAACCAUCGUCAGAGACUGGUAGAUAAUUAUUCAGAACAUCUAAAGCAAGUUAUUUCUACUAAAUGGUAACCAUGCACUUAUUUCUCCACAGAAAAAUUCAUUUUCCUUAUCGUAUUGAUAGAGUGUGCAGGUACUGUGUCAAACAGGAUGAGAUGCUUUUCUGAAAUACCACAGAAAGCAACAAUUGUUUGUAUUUUGGCAUUCUUUCUACCACAUUUUAUUUAGUCAAUUUUUUAAGAUUCAAAGCUGACUUGGGCUAAGAUAUGAAACUUGAAAAUAAUAUGUGAUAAAAUUAAAGUCUUGUACACCUUAA